GGCCCAGCCAGGCCCGGCAGCACCGCGGUCCCCGUCUGUGGGCUGGGGAACGCUGCAGCCUCCGGGGCUGCCAUGCUCGAUUUUCCAGCCGGGCUUUAUGGGAAUAUCGAUAGAAUUAAAGUUACUUGUAAUUCCGUGAUAAAUGAGAUGUCUCUAGUAAGUAAGAUUAAGUGCAGUGCUAUAAAGUUGUUUAUCUGAAAAGUAAUUCUCAGAAACCUGACUUCUGACACUUGGUCAUAUAUUAAACCAGCUUCUUGAACAUUGUACUUCAAAUCCUCCCCGCUCCCCUUGCCCGGUCCCUUCCCCCUUGCAGUUUGCUAUUUAUAACUGCGCACAGGGUAUUACUUUGUAGGUGCGGGCAAUCUCUGGGUAAGUUUUCGCCGACCAUGAAAAUCAUCAUUUGCAAAAGCCAAAGAAUCUCUGCUUAGAAAAUAGUGCUCGGCUAGUGGAUUUACAAAUGGAUAACACCUUCUGACUAUGCCAUUAUCAGUACGAGUGCCAGUACUAACAUCUGAAAGUCAUACAGCAUGUACUGUUCCUGGCAGCUAAGAAAGGUAGGGCAUACUGCAAAUUUAGGAAGAUAACUACAUCUAGAAAUGAUCAUAGAGGCAAUUCUGCAAAGCUAAAAAACGCUACCAGCAUCACUGGCAAAAUUAAAAUGGAGUUCUGCACAGUCCCAAAACACACGCACAUACACAGAGCUGUGGACAUCUGCUAGCUUUAUCUUACAGAUUGCGAUUCAUGACAAAGUUAAUACAACUUAACUACUUGGGCUGGCUUUCCUAUUUCUUCCCGUUGUUAGAAUCAACAAAACUUCCAGGCUCACGGCAUAAAUCCCCCCAGGACAGUCUAAUUCCCUGUAUUUGUUUUUUUCCCCGAGCAAGAUGAAUGUGAUACUGUAUAUCACUUAACAUGCGCACCUAUGAGAGACAUAAAAUGUGUGCUAAUAUUUUUAAAUGAAAAGGUUAUUGCUUUUCAGAACGUACAGUCAUAGUAUUUCACUUGCCCGUUUGAUAGAUGGCUGUGGAAGUGUGGCUCCAGCCCCAUAAAAUAGUUUGUUUGGACGUGAGGAUUCAAAGUGCUACAUUUGCAAACGAAUAAAUUUCCUGAGUACACUCUGAACUCUAGACAAAGAGUAUGAAAUUGUGUGAGCUAAUGGGGACCAUCCCUUAAUUGAUACCAAUGUAAGCUGCAAAUUAAUUGAUGCUGUGACCUACCAGAACAGCGAGUAAAAUUAUUAGUUGUACACUAUUGUUCUCGUGUGAUUGUUACACAGAACUGCUGCACCAAAAUGUCUCUGCUGUUCAGAGCAGCAGAGAAAAAAAGAUUGUUAGCAAUUUUUGGAUAACCUUCAGAAGCAACAUUCUCCUCCCUACGCUAUGUAAUUCUCUUUUUAGUAGUAUUUUUCUUUAUUAUUUGGCUAUUCACAAUGGGUGUCUAAACAUUUACAGUCCUCUAUUAACAGUGUUUCUUCCAUAACAAUCACACACUUUCAUUUCAAUUAGAGCUAUUCAGUCUCCAGUUUUUCCACAAUUAUCACAGGCCAAUUCCCCCAGACUGCUCCCUUUUCCCACCACUGUUUGUAACAAUCCUGCCCUGAGCCAGGCACAGAGGGAAAACUCCAGCGUCCCUUUCACAGCCUCUUGCUCCCGUUUGUUUUCAAGCAUCGCCGUUCGACGACACAAUGUGGAGCCCUGCUUGCUCCCUGUUUGCUGCUGACCUGGUUCAUAAGCCUUAAAACUAACACAUAUUUAUUGUGGGAGAGUGUUCUGACAAAUCAUGCAGGGAGAUGUGAAACAUUAACUCCCAGUACACUCUGGUCGGCCUGCACUGGGAUGAGCAUGCCAGCAGUGUGUGCAGGAACUUCCAUCGCUGAAGCCUGCGUGCGUGUGUAUCUCACACAGAAGAUUUAGCAGAAGAGAAUGUGCAGGUUAUGAGUUAUAUGGACUCAGAGUGUAAUUUGUUAUAACUUAAACACAUAUCAAGACCAACACAUUAAGUACAGUUACUGCUCCUUUUGUUUAUCUAGUGUCUUAUUUUAUGGUGCAGAACUAAACAGUGUCCGCUGAAUUUAACUAUGAAACCAGCCAAAUUGAUUUCAGAAAGACUUCUUCAGAGUAACAGAAUGAUAAGGCAUAAACUGCUCCUAGGUGCAGGGCUAGAUAAAUCCUUUUAACAGUCUUCAGAUCAGUUAACAGGGUAAGUAAAUCACAUAUCACUGUUAGCAGAUUUAUGGGAAAGAAUUAAUAGAAUCAGACGAGAUAAUCUGGUAGGGAUAAAAUUGCUGAGGAAACAGUCCAGCCUUACAUCGGGGGGCAUGAAACAGCAGUCUGAUUACUGGGAGUCAUUAUGGAUUGGUGAAUUAUGAACUAAAUCAUUGUAAGAGUAAGUCAGAAUUUAUUAAUUCUUUUCUCUUUAAACAAUUUACAGACACAAAUAAAAGCCUCUGUCUUUGAAGACACAUUCUUUAUAUAUUUUUAUUGGAUGUAAUUUACUAUUUGCAUUACCUGUAUUUACUUCAUAAUUGAACAUUUUGCAUUCAAAUUUAUGUAAUGCAUUAUGCUUUAGAAUAUAUUUCUCCCUUAUUAGCAUGAAUAGUCACUUACCUCAUGAAUUACUAAGUUUAUCUGAAAAUAUAGGUGUAUUUUUUACUAAGUGGAACACAAACAUAUGUACAAUAAAUUCUUAUUUGCCAGUGGUGUUACAGAAACACAGAACAACCCUGUAUCAGAGAAGAGGGGAAAGAAGCUGCAGCAAAGGAGCAGAAUCAAUUACUGUGCUACUUCCCAAUGGACUUGGCUGAGACUGUGCCACUGCAGCCUUUGCUCCAGCUGCGUUCCUGCUGACCUGGUCCAUGCCAUGAAUGUAUGCUGCUCUAAACUCACUUUCUCAAACAUUUCUCUCUUUCCCCUAAUCCUGUGUCUAUGCUUGGCUUUAAAUCCAAAUAAUCAAUAUAAUUUAGGCCCAUUCUGCAGUGUUAAUGCAACCUUACUUAUGCAGAGAAAACCCCAACUCUAUUGACUUCAAGAACUGCAGGAUUGAAUCCUUGAUCCUAUUGAAACCAAUGACAAAACUUGUAUUGAUUGCAAUGGAAGCAGGAUCGGGUCCUUAAUGUUAGCAAUUUGUUUAAGUCAGAGGGCUACAAGAAGUGAAGGACAUCAGCAGAUCUGCUGGCAAGAAUACAGGUAAGCUCCCCAAAAUUUAAAGGUAAAAUUCACUUGUGGUAGGUCAUCUUUACACUCAGGUAUUACCUUCUGUGUGCUGGGAUGCCUGUGUAUUUUGUCUGGACGCAUAAAGUCAGUCCUCCUGGGAGCCUUCAAAUGAGCACAUCUAUAAAUGUAGUGCAAUAAAAUGAGCUACUUUUGCCACUCGUGCUUUUCGCAAGCCCGGUACAAUCCAUUUCUGUGACGACAGUUUUCUGCCCCACACGCAUCUGAUACUGCUCUUUUAUUUUAAGGCUGAGAAAAUCUUCCCUUUAAACUCAUGCUGAGCAUCAAAUUGGACUCCACUUGCAGCUGAACAUCUUGACUGUCUCUUCCUUUCCUCCAUCAGCUCCAGUAUAUUUUGUGUAGAAUUCUCUCUGUUAAUAAAACUUACUUCUCCCUUAA